GACGAACGCUGGCGGCGUGCUUAACACAUGCAAGUCGAACGGAAAGGCCUUUUCGGAGGUACUCGAGUGGCGAACGGGUGAGUAACACGUGGGUGAUCUGCCCUGCACUCUGGGAUAAGCCUGGGCAACUGGGUCUAAUACCGGAUAGGACCGCACUUUAGUGUGUGUGGUGGAAAGUUUUUUCGGUGUAGGAUGAGCCCGCGGCCUAUCAGCUUGUUGGUGGGGUAAUGGCCUACCAAGGCGGCGACGGGUAGCCGGACUGAGAGGUUGGUCGGCCACAUUGGGACUGAGAUACGGCCCAGACUCCUACGGGAGGCAGCAGUGGGGAAUAUUGCACAAUGGGCGCAAGCCUGAUGCAGCGACGCCGCGUGGGGGAUGACGGCCUUCGGGUUGUAAACUCCUUUCGCCAGGGACGAAGCGUUUUGUGACGGUACCUGGAGAAGAAGCACCGGCUAACUACGUG
rnacentral:rRNA from 1 species